ACAAAGGGAAAAACUUAUAUUAAAUAGACUUAAAAUUUAACUACCUAUUAAGUUCAUGAUUCUUAAUUAACUAACCACUAAGUCAUAAUUACAAAUAUAAAAUUCAAAAAUACUAAACUCCUAAAAAUUAGGAAACACUACAUCAUGUGGAGUCCUGAAGUAAUAUUUAGCCCUGAUGUGAACGUCACUCUUUCCCACAACACUGACUUUAGAAUUAUCACUAAAGCUCAUAUUAGUACGAAAAUCUUCAUUUAAGUGAGAAAAAAAAUGACUUACUGCUGCACAUGUGAUUGCUACAUCUUGUAUCCAAAUACCAAAUAUAUGUUUCAUGUUUGUCCUCCUUGAUGUGAAACGCCAUCAAGAGUGUUUCUUGUUCUUCUUUCUCUACAAAGUUGGAUUGCUCCUCUUUGUUGGAAUGUAAGUUUGCAUUGUAUUCAGACUUGUAGUGAUAAAACAUAAAUAACACUCAAUAUUGGACUUAUUAAAUUUUGUUUGAUUAUGGUGAUCAUUUCCUUUACCUCUGCUUUGAGAUUUUGAUGUGUUAGAACCUCUACCUAUUCCUUUUCCACGACCAUAGCCUCAACCACGGCCAUUUGAUCAUCGCCCUAUAAAUAUGUCACCAAGAGUUAAAGCUUUCAAGGUUUCCUCCUCAAUUGAAGCUAUUGUCAUUCUCUACUCAUGUAAUAGUAAUGAACACUGCAAUUCAUCAAUAGAAAGCUCAUCAAGGUCUUUUGACUCAUCAAUAGAAUAUAUAACAUAAGAGAAUUUUGGAGCCAUUGAUAUAAGAAUCUUCUCCACCACAGUGACAUCUUCGAUUCUUUUGUCGUGAAUACGCAUCUUGUUCACUAUGUUAGUGUUCUUGAGAAAUACUCAUCAACAGAUUCUUUAUACUUCAUAUGGAGAAUUUUAAAUAUUCUACGAAGGGCUUGAAGCUGUGUUGUUUCACCUUUGUUGUUCUUUAAUAUUUUUCUUCAUAGAAUCCCAAAUGUGUUUGUAAUUAUCUUUUUGGAGAAUCAUCUCCAAAAUAGCACGAUCAAUUGCUUGAAAAAUAUUAUUCUUUGCCUUGAGAUCCUUCAGUUUUUAUUCUUCUAUUCUCUUAUGUUGAGCUUCUGUCAACAUCACUCCCGUGGUUGGUUCAGGUACUCCUGUUUCCACGACACUCCAAUAUUCUUUGAAUCAGAGAAAAUUCUCCAUUAGCAUCCUCCAAUGAUCAUAAUGACCAACAAAACAAGGAAUUGCCUGUUGCACAUAACUAUUCUCUGACACCAUGGAUGUAUACUACUGCAGAACAAAAAAAUUUGCUUUUUUUUUCUUUUUCUUACUUUGAUACCAAAGGUAGAAAUAGAGCAAUAAAAGAAUUGAACUGAACUCAAGUAAUUUUUACUGAUGAAAUCAAUCCAUUUAAAUAUAAUAAAAAUAAACAAACGUUACAAAAAAUAAAAUAAUCAUUAAG
rnacentral:lncRNA from 1 species